GGAAAAAACAAGGAUUAUUUAGAUCAAUAUAUUGUCUACUUGAUUUUUUGGGUUGAAUUUGAUAGAAGAGGAACUACAAGAGAUCUUUGAUAGCAACACUUCCCAAUAUUCAUGGACUUCCGAACUUGCAAGAAAGAAGAAGCCUCUGUGGAGGGUAAUCCAUAUAUGGGGAUGGAGAUUUAGUAAAAGAAAGAGGUAGUUGAAGAAUCCAUGGACCAUGGUAUCGAUCAAGUUCUCAUUUAUGCGUCAGUUUGAUUAAAUUAGGUCACACAUACAUGUA